AUAUAAAUUGUAAUUUGCGGUGCGGUUUUGAUUUACAAUAAUUAAAACCCAACCCAAACCGCAAACCGCGGUUUGCUUGAAAUCAUAACCCAAACCGUAAUUCUAAAAUCGCAAACCAACCCAAACCGCGAAGGAUGUGAAUGUCUGAGUUAUUAUGAAUCAAUCCCACAAUUAAAUUUUCCAUUUGCAAUUCAAUUGUGAAUUUGUGAUAGAGACUAGAGAGAUUACCCGCCAACAUCAAAAUGAUAGCGAUGGACGAUGGUUCUAUGAUCUAUGAUCCUGAUAUUGUCUAAUUUUCCUUUUACUGGAAACCACCCUUUGUUUUCGUUUGCUGGCAUCAAGCUGUAUGUGUUGGGAUUUGGUGCUAGUCACCAGAUCAAAGUAUCUCUAGUCCAGGCUACAUUGUGCGGGAGACCAAUUUCUUCUAGUAUAGUUGGAAUACAGUCGGAGAGAAGUUAAGAAGUUUCUAGUAUGUCUUUUCUUUUGCAGUUCUCUGCUUCAUAUGACUGUCCAUUAACAGAGAAUUAAUUCGAUUUGUUUCCUCUCAUAUUUCAUUAGAAUGAAAUUUAGGGUACUUUUUACAAGAACCUUAUUAUUCCUGUUUACGUACUCCCAUAUCUAUGACCUUGACCUCAGGAUGUUUUCAUCCAGGGCAUAUCUUAGAGAAACUAAAUUCAAGGAUAAAAAAUUUGAAACCAAGUCUUCUUGGCUCUUGCUAAGGGUAGAAAAGUUUUGCAAAUAGUAGUUCAUUCCAAGUAUCUUGCAGUCCUGGCAAACACCAAUGCACACAAUCAGCAUAGCUCUUGGGGUUUGCUAGCUGCUCUUCGGUUGGAGGGCUCCACAGCUUUUUGUAAAUUUGUGUGUGUGCAUCCUUCCGAUAGCUUGAAAGUCUGGUAAUGUUGAGAAAUGAUAAGGGUACACUCGAUCUGCUGAAUUCUUCAUCCAUAAUCUUCAUUAUGCUUUCAUGGGAAUGUAAAGCCCAGUUGUACUCAGGAUCCUCUAUUGGAGUCGUUUCAUUGUAACAGUUUCCGUCUGGUUCACCACCCCAGUGUAUACUCCUGAUAAUGGAAAUAAAGUUUAAAAUAAAAUUAUCUAUGGUUUAUCUCUUCUGUACUUUUCUUCAUGCAAAGACAGCUUAUCUCUCUCGAGUGAUAAUGUACGUUGUUCUACACUUCUAGUUUCUCUUUUUCUUCUUUACCAUUUUCUCCCCCCGGGCAAAUUUGGACCACCACAUACCAUAAUACCUACCGUUGACAGUAGAUCUAGUUAAUAGACAAGGCUUAUGUUGGACUAGGUUAAUACAAGGCCCCUCAAAAAAGGUUAAUACAAGGCUAAAAUGGUAGCCUGUAAUUUUGUCAAAGAGAAAAUUAUGUUAAAUAGAUUUAUGUAAGGUUAAGAACUUCAGAUUUACUUAUGCUUUUUUCUCUCACUUCUAUCCCUUCUCCUUACUACUAAAUUAGCCCGCUCGUUAUCGACCCAAAAUCAUAUGACAUAUUAACAAGGUGACCAUUAUUGACCCACAGCGACCUGACGCAACCUGCCUAAUAUCAGGUUUUAAUUUGGUGGGAAUCGCAAUGAUUUUUUGCUGGGUUGGUGGUUGGAAGUGUAAGACUUGAAAUGCUUGCAAAAUUAGGUUUUAGUAGUAUACUUUGGCCUAGAUUCUUGGAACAACCGAACAGGCAGAGCAUAUGUACCUAGUGUGACUCGGUGACAUGCCAGUGAAGAAGACUCUGGUCUUCUUUGGGUCCAUGUUUCUCUGAACCCAUUCCAACAUGCUCCGCACACCCAUCCGGUAAGCAUCCUCUCUUUUCAGAAUUUCAAACUUCUGCACACUAUCUGUGAAAGAUCCUGUCCUGAAAAGAACUAAGAAGUUGAUCAAAAAGAUGAUUGGGGAAGAGAAGAAUACUUCUUCGUAACUAAGUAUUGAGGACAUUACAAGAUCUUCAAUUUGAGGCGGGUCAUCCACCAGAUGUAUGUGUUGAAUACCACUACAUCUGCGCCUUCCCAGAAUCUCCCAUGCUUAUCGAUUGAUCCAUUGCGUAUAAUCCUCUCUGAUACCUUGUCAUCACCUAUACCAUCUCCGUUGGACUCAAGUAGUAAGGGAGCCCAGUAGAACUCAAUGGUUGCAUUGUAAUCCUGAAGUAAAUCUACGUGUUACAUUUAAGAAGCUCAACAUAUUUAAUACUGAUGUUAGAAUAUGCAGAUUAUAUUUUGUUGUUACCUUUAACCUGAAGACUGUUAAUGAAUCAUAAGAGCUUUUCAUGGAUUUACCAUUUUCAGGUACCAGGCUGUGAAGAAGGCAGACCAUGGAAAUAUACUGACCCCGGUUCAGGGAAUCGCCAACAUAUAGCAAUCUUUUUCCCGGGAGAGCCUCCAACAAUAAGGUUGCAUUAAAUCUGCAAUUAUUCUGCUUUUGUUUAGUAUAUGCAAUGCUAUUAUGCAAAUUGACCUAAUAACACCUUGUGCAACAUUCAGAGACUGCAAUGUGCACAUAACUGAUGUGGGACAAAUGUGGCAUUAGAUGCAUUACAGUACACAAGUUAUAUCCUUCUGGCAACGUCAAAAUUCUUCAUCCUGAGUUUUACUUGGGUGCAUUCUCUUCACAUGACUUUCACUUCACUUUUUAGUUCUGAAGUUGACUUAUUAUAACGUUUUGGUUCAAAGUUAAACUUGUUAGCUCUGAAGAUAACUACUUGUAAGCCGUUUUUCCUAAAUUAGGUAAAGCUCUUUUAGAGUUCAGCAUAUCCUGUGUCAAGUACUAGAUAUGUAGAAAUUUUGGUAAGCCUCCUACUAGUACACUAAUAUUACUUCCUCUAUUUCAAUUGUAUUAUGAAAUCAAAUAAUUAUUUGAAAAUAAGUAUUGUAUGUUAUUUCAUCAGCAUUACUUUGUUAAAGUCAACUUUCCACCAUAAAACGCAUUAAAUAUUUGACAAUGCUACAGGACCACUAGAAUCUAUGUCGUCUAGAAUUCUAAUAAAAUGGAGCUUUUAUUUGGAACUGACUUAAAUAGAGUUUUCAGUUACUGACUUGGGGAGAUCACAGCCGUAAGGCUGCCAGCGCCAGAACUGGUAGUCCUUGUCAGGGCGUCCAUGUUCUUGGCAUGUCAUCUGUGGCUGAAUGUAGGGGCACUUUGACUCCUCAUACAAAGGCUUGUUCUCCUUGUCUCUUACCCACUUUCCACUGAAUAUGUCACACUCCUUUAGUGUCUUCCCUACUGCAAAUGGAAGCAUCUCCUCGCUCUUGUUGUGUUUCAACUCAUCUACAAUCAUAAAUUAAAAUCUUUCACAAUGCAACAUAUGUAAGAAAACCAAUCGAUUUAUUAGCUAUUAUUCUGUAUAUGUCUAUAUGAUAAAAUAUUGCUGUCACCAUUACUCUUUCUUUCCGAGAACAGUACAGUUUUGUUGUGAUUGUCCUAGUGAACUUUUAGAAGGAAAGAAGAAAAGACCGUGUUUAGUUCAAAUAAUAUGUUAAGGCCACAUAAUGCUUAGUAGUUAGUAUUAUAGAUAACCACCAUUGAAGUAUAAAAAUAUAAAAAAAGUAAUAAAUAAGACUACCAUUUCUGGACCAAAAGAAUACUAACCAAGAGAGGGAGGGGGAUCAUUGAGUGCUGAAAAUUGCUGAUGAUGACGGAAAGUGGAGAAUGCCCAGGAGAAAUCAUGGGAGUACAGUACGGCAAUGAAGCUGAUGAAGGUAAAGAGGGUGAAGAUCAAUGGAGAUAGACGGGUUUCCCUAACCAUCUGAUUCGUGCGAAAAGAAUCUCUGAUUUAUCUAUGGAUAGUCUUGUGGGAUUCGGAGGGAGAAGGAGAGAAGUUGCAUAGAUUACAAGGGAUGAUUAUAGGUUCACUUGUUCAUCGUCACCAGAUCACCACCUUUUCUCAUGACUUUAUGAUGGAUCUUCUAGUUAUCUUGGUCAACCACAUGCUAUUGCUCUACCCUUACUCCUUAGUGUCUAGAUAGAGGAAGAAGUGAAUUGUAGAAAACUAGAAAUCUGAUUAUUGGCUGCGAAAGAUUAACAUUAUAUCUUAACAUAGAUAUUGUAUAUAUGUUUAGUUGCGAAUUACGAUAAUGCAUCGGUUUAGGCAUCAAGCUGUAUGUGUUGGGUUGUGGUGCUAGUCGCCCAGAUUAAAGUAUCUACAAUCCAGGCUACAUUGUGUCGGCUCCCCAAUUUCUUCUGGUAUAGUUGGAACACAGUCGGAGAGAAGAAACAACCGAACAGGCAGAGCAUAUGUACCUUGUGUGACUCGGUGACAUGCCAGUGAAGAAGACUCUGGUCUUCUUUGGGUCCAUGUUUCUUUGAACCCACUCCAACAUGCUCUGCAUAGCCAUCCGGUAAGCAUCCUCUGUUUGCAGAACUUCAAACUUCUGCACACUGUCUGUGAAAGAUCCUGUCCUGAAACGAACUAAAGAGUUGAUCAGAAAAAUAAUUGGUGAAGAGAAGAAUAUUGUCUAGUAAGUAAGUAUCGAGGAUAUUACAAGAUCUUCAAUUUCAGGCGGGUCAUCCACCAGAUGUAUGUGUUGAAUACAACUACAUCUGCGCCUUCCCAGAAUUUGCCAUGCGUAUCUAUGGAUCCAUUGCGUAUAAUCCUCUCUGAUACCUUGCUCCCUGCACCAUCUCCAUUGGACUCAAGUAGUAAGGGAGCCCAGUAGAACUCAAUGGUUGCAUUGUAAUCCUGAAGUAAAUCUACGUGUUACAUUUAAGAAGAUCAACAUAUUUAAUACUGAUCUUAGAAUAUGCAAAUUAUAUCUUGUUGUUACCUUUAACUUGAAGACUGUUAAUGAUUCAUAAGAACUUUUCAUGGAUUUGCCAUUUUCAGGUACCAGGCUGUGAAGAAGGCAGACCAUGGAAAUAUAUUGACCCCGGUUCAGGGAAUCGCCAACAAAUAGCAUUCUCUUUCCCCGUAGAGCCUCCAACAGUAAGGUUGCGUUAAAUCUGCAAUUUUUCUGCUUUUAUUUAGUAUAUGCAAUGCUUUUAUGCAAAUAGACUUGAUAACACGUUGUGCAACAUCCAGAGACUGCAAUAUGCACAUAACUGAUGUGGGACAAAUGUGGCGUUAGAUGCAUUAGAAUACACAAGUUAUAUCCUCCUGUGCAACAUCAAAAUUCUUCAUCCUGAGUUAUACACUUCUACUGAGGGUGCUUUCUCUUCACAUGACUUGCACUUAAUCUUAUAGUUCUGAAGCUGACUUAUUACAACAUUUUGGUUUAAAGUUAACUUAUUUGAACUUAUUAGCUCUGAAGAUAACUAAUCUAAACCCGUGUUUCCUAAAUUAGGUGAUCGAAGCUCUUUUAGGGUCCAGCAUAUCCCGUGUCAAGUAUUCUAGAUGUGUAGAUAUUUUGGUAAACCUCCUACUAGUACAUUGAUAUUACUUUGUUUCAAUUGAAAUAUGAAGUCAAAGAACUAUUUGAAACUGAGUAUUGUAUGUUAUUUCAUUAGCAUUACUUUGUUAAAGUCAACUUCCCACAAUAAAAUGCAUUAAAUAUUCGGCAUUGUUACAGGACUACUAGAAUCUAUGUUAUCCAGAAUUCUAAUAAAAUGGAGCUCUUAUUUGGAACUGCCAUAAAUGCAGUUUUCAGUUACUCACUUGGGGAGAUCGCAGCCAUGAGGCUGCCAGCGCCAGAACUGGUAAUCCUUAUCAGGGCGUCCAUGUUCUUGGCAUGUCAGCUGUGGCUGAAUGUAGGGGCACUCUGACUCCUCAUACAAAGGCUUGUCCUCCUCGUCUCUUACCCACUUCCCACUGAAUAUGUCACACUCCUCCGGUGUCUUCCCUACUGCAAAUGGAAGCAUCGUCUCUCUCCUCUCCUCGCUCUUCUUAUGCUUCAACUCAUCUACAGUCAUUAAAUUAAAUUUUUUUACAAUGCAACAUAUGUAAGAAAACCAGCCACUUUGUUAGUUGUUAUUAUGUAUAUGUCUAUAUGAGAAAAUACUGCUCUCAUCAUUUACUCUUUCUUUCUGAGAACAUUACAGUUCUGUUAUGAUUGUCCUAGUGAAGUUUUAGAAGGAAAGAAAGGCUACAUAGUGCUUAGUAGUUAGCAUUAUAGACAAUCAACAUUGAAAGAUAAUGGCACAUUAGCAGGUGCAAAUGUGCAAUUUAUCCCUAAGAUCCUAACAUUUCAUGACAAGAAACUGAAGAUCGUCUUAGCAUUUACAGAUUUACUUCCUCUAUUCUCUGAUAGUUGUUCCACUUUGCCUCUUUUUUCCUAUAUAUGAAGUAUAAACAAUCAUCAUCUGGGGUAUUUUGGAUCCAAUCAAUUUUAUAUUUUCACAAUAUCAUCUCACUACGUUUAGUGUGAAUUAUACAUAACUAAAGAUAUUUAUGGUUAAAUGUGUACAUUAGGGACAUGAAAAGGCAGGUGGAAUACCUAUUAGGAAGCGGAGGGACUAUAGAAGGAAAUAUAAAUGCCAUUUUAUCUUGUACUUAAAAAGUUUGAUAAAAAUAAAUAAAAAUUAAUUAGUAAGACUAUUAUUUCUGGACGAAAAGAAUACUAACCAAGAGAGGGAGGGGGAUCAUUGAGUGCUGAAAAUUGCUGACGACGGUGGGAAGAGGAGAAAUCCUGGCAGUAGAAUAUGGCAAUAAAGCUGAUGAAGGUAAAGAGGAUGAAGAUCAAUGGAGAUAGACGGGUUUCCCUCACCAUCUGAUUUAUCUGUAGGUGGUGUUUUGGGAUUUUGGAGGGAGAAAGGUUGCAUAGAUAUACAAGGUAUGUAGUCCUCUUUUAUUGUUGUUUGACUUGUAUCCUUAAAAACAAUGCUGUUGCCUGUUGCCUGUUGGGACAAUGGGACGUGGUUUUCCUUUUCUUAUGCAUGGCUAAAACAUACUUCUCUGCACGUCUGGGAUUUUUUUAUAUCAAGAUCAUGUUAUCUUUCUACAUUUCAUUCAACUAUGGUCUUCUCUCUUUUCUUAAUAAGACAUUUUACUAUAAUUAUGAAUUUAUAUUCUUUUAUCAAAAACCAUCAUUUGUUGGACAGCUAAAGCAUCUUAUUGGUGGAUGGUAGUAAUAUAACUUCCCAUCACGAUUACGAUUAAAUUAACGACUUCAGGCUGUAGUUAGGUUGAAUUUUGGCUUCAUAAAAAACCUUUUCCAAGUUGAAUAUUAUCACUUGAAGUCACUGUACAUAUUGGACAGGUUACUAGCCAAUAUCUAUAAUUUGUUGAGUCCUUCCUUUAUUAGUUUUUAUUUUUAUUUUUUAAGUUGGCAAGGGAAACUUCGCUCCCAAAGAGCCCCUAGUAGGAUUUGAUCUCAUGACCUUAAAAUCAUGAGGCCAAAUCUUUAUCACUAGGCCAAACAUUGCUUGGUCCUUCCUUUAUUAGUUGGAUAGAUAUGUGACUUUGUUUAUAAGAUUUAAGUACUGUAUAUACAAUCAAAACUACCCGUUUUUUCAUGUACUGAUGUGCAUUCUUUAUCUGCAUUGAUGCACGACAUUCUUUGUGUCUGUAAUUAACUAAUUAUAUUAUGACAUUGUUGUCAUUUUGUGGUUUCUGGAGCACUUCCUUUGCAUUACUAUGUAGAACCAGUGGUGGACCCACAUAAUCGAGCGCAUCCUAAUUUAAAAAUCACUAGUUUGUCAUUUUGCUUAUUAUUAUAUUCCUCCUUAACUCAGCCUUCUUCUUCGGUGCGGUCUUAAGCUCACGACACCAUAUGAACUUUUCACUUGCUUCUGAGCCCGGCUAAGCCCUUGAAACUUCUUUAAUAUCCUCUCUCAGAUCCCCUAAUAGAUCCAACCCAAACUCCUCCAAGGAGGUUUGAUCCCAUGACCAAUGCCAUAGGUGAGGAGGUAGAUACCAGUUAAAGCUAACCCUCAACCUCAAAUCCGCCAUUAAGCAACACCCUAAAUUCUCGACUUGUUUAUUUUUCCUGAAUCUUUUGGUAUAAUUGGUUAUGGGGACGUAAAAGUUGUAAUAAGCGCAUGGAAAGCUAUUCGUGUAAUAGGAUUGCCUUUAAUAGAGUUAUUACGGAAGUGCUAGUGUGGUACAUUCUACGUUCAAUUUUAUAAUCAACACCUCUGUAUUCCCUCUUCUUACUGUCAUACUUAUGUUAAUGCACUUUGUAUUGAUGUGAGAUCUUCAGUGGUUUGAAUUCCUCUCUUUUUUGGCUGAAUGAAAAAUGUGAAUCUGAACUAAUCAAUAAUUCCAAGUAUCAUCUGACAAUUAACUACUGAAUAUCCACUUGGAAAAAAAAUUCAAAACUUUUUGUCAUCAUCUUCUGCAGCUUUCCGCAUUACAUGAUUGUUCAUGUACAAAGAAUUAAUUCAAUUUGAGUCAUUUAUAUUUCUUUACACAACCAUUUUCACUUCAAUUUGUACACAAAACUUCUUCAUUCUAGAUCUCCAAUCCAUGUUUUAGUCUCCAGAGUUCUUGACCUUGGCGAGGAAGGCAUCACAAUGCUUUCAUUCAUGAGCCAACCUCAGAGAAGUAAAACCGUAGAAGCACUAGCAAAUAAACCAGCCCGGCCUGGACCUCUUACUAAGGAUAGAACAGUUUAGCAAACAGUAGUUCAUUCCAAGUAUCUUGCAAUCCUGGCAAACACCAGUGCACACAAUCAGCAUAGGUCUUAGGGUCUGCUUUCUGCUCUGGAGUCAAGGGGCCCCACUGCUUCUUGAAAAUUUGCGUGUGCGCAUCCUUCCGAUAGCUGGAUAAUUGGGUGAUGUUAAGAAAUGUUACUUGUGCUUUGGAUUUUCUGAACUCAUCUCCGAUAACUUCCAUUAUGGUUUUACGAGAAUCUGACCCCCAGUAUUCAGGAUCGUCUAUUAGAGUUGUUUGAUUGUAACAGUUGCCACCUUCCUCACCUCCCCAAUCUAUGCUCCUGCAAUAAAGAAAAAUGAAAAAAAGAGAUUUGAGAAUGCUGUCAUGUCUCCGGUCUCCCCUUCUUUGUAUGCAUAUGCAUUUUAUCAUACUUAACCAGGAAGUUUCUCGAUUCUCAACUUACUUGGAAUGAGUUGGUGACAUGCUAGUGAAGAAAACCCUGGUCUUCUUUGGGUCCAUGUUUCUCUGAACCCAUUUUAACAUGCUCUUCAUUGCCAUCCGAUAAGCAUCCUCGGUAGAAAGCAUUUCUAUUUCUGGCACCUCAUCUUUGAAAGACCCUUUUCUGGAAAGCAAACAAGCACUUUCAUCAGCAAUAAGAUCCAAUAACAGUUUAACAGCGCUCUGAAACAGAGCCAUGUCCAAAGGAUAAAGGACAUUACAAGAUCUUGAACUGAAGACCAGUCAUCCACCAGAGGUACCAAUCUAUGAAGAAGACAGAUCAUGGAAACAUACUGACCCCGGUUUAGAGAAUCGCCAACAAACAACAUUCUUUUGCCUCGAAGAGCCUCCAGCAUUAAGGUUGCGUUGAAUCUGCGUGUUUAUUCUGUUUAGUAAGACAAACUUUAUACUCUCAUGUUAUACUAAAAGUUUCAAAGAAGACUAUAUUGGCGAGAUGUUAGAAUUUUAGAAGUAAAAGACCUAAUGUUGUGUUAGGAAUAAGAAAUUCAUUUGAAAUGAAUAUUAGUUAAAUUUGCUUAACUAUCAAUAAAUUGGACCAAAUUAUUUCAUGCAGUAUCUAAAGGCAAAAAUGAUGCUUCAAAAUCUGUAUGCAAAAAACCCCAACUGAAACCUUUGUAAAAAGAAGAAAGAAACAAGAAAAAAGAUACAAGAAACAAGAAAGAAGAAAGGGAUGGGGUUUAGCACACUGGUUGGUGCAACAUCCUCCAUUAACUUACCAUUAAAAAAGCACUCUUAUAAUAUUUCCGACUAAGACAAACAAAGGCAUGUGCAGUUGUGCUAAUAUGCUCUCAAUGUCAAAACAUUCCUUAUUUUACCAGUUAACAUGGCCUUCCCAAAUCCCAACUAAACUAUUGUUAAACAUUGUACUAUUACUUCUUUCUAAGACAUAUCUAUUAGGAAUGUCACUUUAUUUUUCGAUUAUUCUCUGCAAGUAUCAUAAAUUCCAACAUGUCCUAUUUAGCGAAACCUAUCGUCAGCUCAAUCCAUGAUCACCUCUAAAUGAAAAAAACAUUUCAAUAACACAGUUACCGUUGGGCUUUUUUUUUAUUUGAACCAUAUUAAUUACUGGAAUAUUCUCUUAAUCAUUAUUAUUGCCCAAUUAGGACCCUACCAAAUACUACCAAUUGAAUGUCAACUGAAGCUCCUAAAGGCUACAAACUGUCAGGACCAGUCGAGCUCGUGCUGAAUUUUGAAAAUGAUAUCUAUGCAGCACAACCCACCACCUGAUGCCGGCUUGGUCCAUGCUCACCUCUAUUAUCCGCUAAAAAUGGAUUAAAACGACAUAAAAAAAUAAGACUUACUUGGGAA